UACUCUUGUCCUGCCAACACCUUCACGCAUCUCCGGACAAUGGAGAAAGCGCCCCUGGGAAGAGAAGAAGCCACAGGGAGAGGAUGCUGCUCCCUAUCGGGGUCUGGUGGGAGGAGAACCAUUCUGCCCACCCCUGCCAGGACACCCCCACCCCAAAAGGCACCGGGAACGUCUCUCCGGAGGAGGAACCACACUUCUCACGGCGAGCGGCUGCCGCAGCAGAGCAGAGAUGACGGCAGAUCCACUGCUAUGUCCAGGCUGACUGCGAGCCCGGCACCAGCCCAGCAC